rnacentral:lncRNA from 1 species
UCGAAGCUCCCGGUAAUUCAGAUUGUAUUGCACAGAGAUGGUUCUCCAGCCACGUAAUGAUCUAAUUAGAAGAUAAAAAGGCAUUCUCCUCGUGGCCAUCUUUUUCCCUUUAUUAUUUCAUAUAUCAUGUCUUCCUCUUUCCAACAUUUACUACCUAGUCUCACGGAUCAAUCUACGAUACAGGUUGGUAGAAAGUGAUGAGGCACUUUAUACACAAAAUGAUGUGCCUGAUGUUGGCAAGUGCAUAAACGCCUGGUGAUAACCGUGAUAUUGGUAUUCAUUUUCUUCAAUCAAUUUUUUUAUUUUCCGUCGACUUACUUUUUGUCGUAAAAGCCUGUAACAUCAGUGAUAUAUAAUUGAUUUCGCUUCUCUCUUCUCUGCGAUCUAUUUUGUCAAGCGCCUGGUGAUAUUGGCAUUCAUUUUCUUCAAUCAUUGUUUUCGUUCCGUCGACUUACUUUUUGUCGUAAAAGCCUGUAACAUCAGCGAUGUAUAAUUGAUUUAGCUUCUCCCUCCCCUUCGAGCUAUCUCUCUUGUAUUUUGUCAAUGUCCUGGUGAUAUUGGAAUUAUUUUUUUCAUUCAUUUCUUUCGUUCCGUCGACUUACUUUUUGUCAUAAAAGCCAGUAACAUCAGCGAUAUUUAGUAUAAUUGAAUUCACUUCUCUCUUCCCUGCGAUCUAUCUCUCUUUUAUUUUGCCAAGCGCCUGGUGAUAUUGGAAUUCAUUUUCUUCAUUCAUUUCUUUCAUUCCGUAGGCUUACUCUUUGUCAU